UGUAUUCUGCUAUGUCUACUGGGAGGAUACACUAGUGGGGAUAGUUCUGUGUAUACAGUGAUUAAGCACAUAGGUUCUGGAGCCAGUCUCUUUCUUUCAAAAUCACCUCAUUGCUUUUGAAGAAUCAGGGAAACCCCCAUGAGACUACAGGUGUGAAGCAAGAUAGAAGCAUCAGUGCAAAAGAGAUUCUCUUACUGAGAUACCUUGGAACAUGGUUUGAAUAACAUUGCUCUAACUUCUUUCAUGUCAGGAAGCUCUGAUUUGCCAUAGACUUGCAGAAAUGCCUGCUACAUACAUGCGUGUUGAACAAUGAACUUCAUAACUGACAUAUUUAUCAGAGAAUCAGGAUGAGAGAAGAUGCAGAAACACAGAAAGGAAGAGGAUUAGCAACUUUCCCAGAUCUGAGUUGAGCUGAGAUUUGAGUCAAGGCAAUGUUGCUUCUGGGGCUGUAACAACUACAUUUUAUUGUCUCCUGAACAGAUACUUCCUUUUCUUACUUAAUAAGAAUAGACCUUGGAGGUCUGGACCUGGACAUGAACGUACACUUUUCUAAAGAAGAUAUACACAUGGCCAACAAGCAUGUGAAAAAAAGCUCAAUAUCACUGAUCAUUAGAGAAAUGCAAAUGAAAAUCACAAUGAGAGACCAUCUCACACCAGUCAGAAUGGCUAUUAUUAAAAACUCAAAAAAUAACAGAUGCUGGCGAGGUUGCAGAGAAAAGGGAACACUUAUACACUGUUGGUGGGAGUGUAAAUCAGUUCAACCAUUGUGUAAAGCAAUAUGUCAAUUCCUCAAAGAGCUAAAAAAGAACUACCAUUGGACCCAGCAAUCCCAUUACUGGGUAUAUACUCAGAGGAAUAUAAAUCACUCUACUAUAAACAUACACGCAUGCAAAUUUUCACUGUAGCACUAUUUACAAUAGCAAAGACAUGCAAUCAACCUAAAUGCUCAUCAAUGACAGAUCGGAUAAAGAAAAUAUGCAUCUUCAACCUUUCUGGACUACAGCACCUGCCAACUGACCCCCACAUCAUGGCUCCAACGCUGGCUUCAUCACAUAUCUUCUCUCUCAGUCCCUUUGGCUCUCAGGGUGCAAUAGCUUAACAAAAUUGCUGAUCUAGGUGCCUCAGCAUUGUUUCUUUGUCAUAGUCUCUGUAUUAUCUUAUUUUGAGCCAUUCUUUUCCUGCAAAGAUCCUAACUGAAUGAGAUAACUACUUCAUAAGCUAUUUGUAAGGUUUAAAUAAAUUAAUGCAUAUUUAAUACAUGAA